rnacentral:rRNA from 1 species
GACAGAGGGGGCAAGCGUUGCUCGGAAUUACUGGGCGUAAAGGGCGCGUAGGCGGGAUGGCAAGUCGGUCGUGAAAUCCCUCGGCUCAACCGAGGAACGUCGAUCGAUACUGCUGUUCUUGAGGAUUGCAGAGGAGACUGGAAUUCCCGGUGUAGCGGUGAAAUGUGUAGAGAUCGGGAGGAACACCGGUGGCGAAGGCAGCCCCCCGGGCCAAUACUGACGCUCAUGCACGAAAGCGUGGGGAGCAAACAGG